rnacentral:piRNA from 1 species
UCAAGUGCUUGGGUCAACACCUGGAGU